AGUGAUUUCAAUGUUUAUGCAUUGCGUUUGGAAAUUUCUGCGAUUCAUAUUUUUUUCUAUUCUAUUGUUGAGUCUACGAUUAUUUUUGUUAAUUUCACGUUGAAUGGGUGUUGUCGGCGAAACGGUGCUGUUAUAUGUCUUACUGUAAGAAUGCUUUUUUUUGCCUAUAUAAUCGUUGGCUGCCUGACACGAGAGUUAUCACAACGGCCUACCGGUGAUCCGGAGCGGCGUCGUCGUCAACUCACGGAAAUGUGGCGCCAAGAUAUUCGUUACAAAUACACUGCCAUUUAAAAAAUUUGAAUCAUUAACAUUUUUCAGGAAUUCGUAAUAAAAAAUUAGGUAAAAAUCUUAUUAAAAUAUGAUUUGAAUAAUGAUAUUCGUGAUAUCAUUAUGUUUGUAUUAAAUUAUAACUUCAAUAUUUUAUCGAUGUAUGUUUCACAUUCCCUGGAACUAAGACGUUAAAUAAUAAUUUAC